GAAAUGCGAUAAGUAAUGUGAAUUGCAGAAUUCAGUGAAUCAUCGAAUCUUUGAACGCACCUUGCGCCCUCUGGUAUUCCGGAGGGCAUGCCUGUUUGAGUGUCAUUAAAUUCUCAACUUCAAAAGUUUUUAUUAACUUUUUGAAGCUUGGAUGUGGGGGUUUGCUGGCGUCUUUAGAUGUUCGGCUCUCCUUAAAGUUAUUAGUGGGAAUGUCUUUUGUUAGGCGAUCCUUGGUGUGAUAAUUAUCUACACUUUGGAUAGUCUAAUGGUUCCAUUGGGAUUAGUUGGUAUUGCGAUUAAGUUUGCUUUACUUGAGUCUCAGAGGAAAAGAUAAGUUCUGCUUUCUAACCGUCUGUGUUACAUGGACAAUUUAUUGACUAUUUGACCUCAAAUCAGGUAGGACUACCCGCUGAACUUAA
rnacentral:misc_RNA from 1 species